AUGGAUGGGGAUGCGUCUGAUUAGCUUGUUGGCGGGGUAACGGCCCACCAAGGCGACGAUCAGUAGGGGUUCUGAGAGGAAGGUCCCCCCACCAUUGGAACUGAGACACGGUCAAACUCCUACGGGAGGCAGCAGUGAGGAAUAUUGGUCAAUGGGGCGAGAGCCUGAACCAGCCAAGUAGCGUGCAGGAUGACGGCCCUAUGGGUUGUAAACUGCUUUUAUGUGGGGAUAAAGUGCGUGACGUGUCAUGCAUUGCAGGUACCACAUGAAUAAGGACCGGCUAAUUCCGUGCCAGCAGCCGCGGUAU
rnacentral:rRNA from 1 species